CGCUCGCACUGUUAAAUGUACUGCCAUGUGCAUGAGAGAAUUUCAUGUCCUAAGCUGUUAAGAAAGCUUUAAGAUGUUCAUGUCUGUGUUGCAAAACUAUAGUGGAAGCAACAAGCACAUCUUUAUUUUCAUUUUUCAUCAGAAAUGUACCCAAAUGUUCACGUGCUGUCUUGUCUUUGCUUUUGCGCAGACCUUUUGAGGUACAACGUGGGCUUGGAACUUCGCAGAUCCCAGAAAGGGGCCUCAGCAACCACCGUCGUGGUCCCUCGAAUCCUGGAAGAACGGAGUGACAGUGGAGAACUGGUUGUGGCCAUCCGUGCUGGUUGGACUUUGGCUCUGAGGAAAGUGUCCGUUCUGCGGGAAAAGCUAGAAGUCACAACACUCGAGGAACAUGAGAAAAGAGUUCAUUACAUGAAUGGGUCACGUCUGGAACAGCACCUUUACCAUGACCCUCAAGCCCGCGCUGCUGUCAUACUUACGCGCACUGGAGGACUUCGACUCGUCGGCAUUCUGAGUCCUACCGAACGAAUACAGCCAUCAGCUGCGGCUCGUUACGGCACAAGGGGUAGCGUUAAACAUGACAUUUUCCCUAUAGCGCAGACAGACUCUGACGCUGAAAAUUCAUCAGACGUGUUUCGAAUCCUGAUGGCCACGCAGAAUCCGCGUUGUCUGAACAUUUUAUCCAGACAGCAAGGAAAGUUCCUGAGGCAAGGUCUGGAGGGUCAACUUAUCCUGUGAAAGCCACUUGUGAGACCCGCAUUGCCGUAGACUCAAGCUAUUUUACCUCAUUUCGUAGGGAAGCACGGAAACUUGCCCAGUACAUGGCCGUACUGGUAGCCUUUACAAACCUCAAGUUCCGUACUUUCCAAGAAAAUAUAUUACAUUUUCAGCUGAGAGUAACAGGAAUUGUCAUUUUUUCGGCUUGACUUGGCCACGAGUGACGGCAAAGGAAGACCUGUCGGCAAAAGUACAGUAGGGCUGGCGACAGUCGGAACUGCUUGCGGCGAUUACAAGGCGGCGAUUGUGGAAGACGUGCCGCGCACGUUCAGCAGCGCGCACACUAUGGCCCACGAGAUUGGACACCUGGUAGGCUCGGCGCAUGAUGGCUCUGAGAAUAAGCGCAGUUCGGUCGACCCGAGGACUUGUCCGGCGGCUGAUAAAAAGAUCAUGACAACAAGGAUGGGCCAGAAGAUGUGGCAGGUGUUCUCCUACUGCAGCACCGUACAAGUAGCAGAGUUUGUCAUGAGCGACAAGGGACAGUGUUUGACAAAUACUACUACUUCGAAAGUGAGCGAAAAGUUGACUUUUGCUGAUGUUAACGAAACCCGACCUUCACUGGACGAGUUUUGCCAACGCCACUAUGCAGAACAUAGAGGGACAAGUUACACAAAACCUUAUGACAAAAGACUGACUCUAGAUAAGUGCAUCAUCACAUGCAAAGUGCCUGAAAAACCAGGCCUACUAAUAAUCAACGACGCACCUGAUGGCACGAGAUGUAACGAUACCAGACCGCGCGCGAUCUGCAUCAACGGUAGAUGCACACGUGUUAAAGAUAAUCGUGUCGAGACAUUCGGAAACGAUGUUAAGGAUUCGACGAUUCAGCUGAAUUAGAGGACGUGCAGACAUGGCCACAGAUGUCAUAUCUCGAUAACUAAGCAAACUGACAGCACUUCCGUGUUCUCCAAAACUGAAAAAAAUGUAAGAAGAACGUUCAAAUCUAAACCAGUGCCAGUUUCUAACGAGCUUAGUAAAUGUGAACAAGAAAGCUGACCAUGGAAAGAAAAUGAUAAAGCUGCACAUGGCAGCAUUUCUCAAUAAAUUCUGCCUUUGCACAACUUGC